rnacentral:rRNA from 1 species
UACGUAGGGUCCGAGCGUUGUCCGGAAUUACUGGGCGUAAAGAGCUCGUAGGUGGUUUGUCGCGUUGUUCGUGAAAACUCACAGCUCAACUGUGGGCGUGCGGGCGAUACGGGCAGACUAGAGUACUGCAGGGGAGACUGGAAUUCCUGGUGUAGCGGUGAAAUGCGCAGAUAUCAGGAGGAACACCGGUGGCGAAGGCGGGUCUCUGGGCAACUACUGACGCUGAGGAGCGAAAGCGUGGGGGAGCGAACAGG